CACGAAACUGACAGUUACUAGCAGUCUCCACACUACCAGUAAGUUGACUCACUGUACAUGACCUCUCUCCUUCAUUUCACUUUACUGCAGGGUGGGAGAUGCAACAAUGGCCUUGAGAACAGCAGGAAGUGUGUUGGUGGUCUUUCUCUGGUCUGUAGCAGUGGUACUGGGUCAGGAUGGCUGGAGUGUGACUUACACCACUCAGAGUAUCUGUACCUUGAAGGGGUCAACAGUGGAACUGUCCUGCUCUUAUACAUAUCCCAGUUGGUGUAAUGUCAUAAAAACCUUCUG